GGAAAGGCUCCAGCUUGCUGGAGUACUCGAGUGGCGAACGGGUGAGUAACACGUGGGUAAUCUGCCCUGCACUCUGGGAUAAGCCUGGGAAACUGGGUCUAAUACUGGAUAUGACCUUUCUCCUUAUGGGGUUUGGUGGAAAGUUUUUCGGUGUAGGAUGAGCCCGCGGCCUAUCAGCUUGUUGGUGGGGUGAUGGCCUACCAAGGCGACGACGGGUAGCCGGCCUGAGAGGGUGAUCGGCCACAUUGGGACUGAGAUACGGCCCAGACUCCUACGGGAGGCAACAGUGGGGAAUAUUGCACAAUGGGCGGAAGCCUGAUGCAGCGACGCCGCGUGAGGGAUGACGGCCUUCGGGUUGUAAACCUCUUUCAGCAGGGACGAAGCGUAAGUGACGGUACCUGCAGAAGAAGCACCGGCUAACUAUGUGCCAGCAGCCGCGGUAAUACGUAGGGUGCGAGCGUUGUCCGGAAUUACUGGGCGUAAAGAGCUCGUAGGCGGUUUGUCACGUCGUCUGUGAAAUCCUAGGGCUUAACCCUGGACGUGCAGGCGAUACGGGCUGACUUGAGUACUACAGGGGAGACUGGAAUUUCUGGUGUAGCGGUGGAAUGCACAGAUAUCAGGAAGAACACCGAUGGCGAAGGCAGGUCUCUGGGUAGUAACUGACGCUGAGGAGCGAAAGCAUG
rnacentral:rRNA from 1 species